CGCGUAGGCGGCUCAUCAAGUCAGGGGUGAAAUCUUUCGGCUCAACCGGAAAAGUGCCCCUGAUACUGGUGAGCUCGAGGGAGGUAGGGGCAGGUGGAACUUCCGGUGGAGCGGUGAAAUGCGUAGAUAUCGGAAGGAACGCCGGUGGCGAAAGCGACCUGCUGGAUCUCUACUGACGCUGAGGCGCGAAAGCCAGGGGAGCAAACGGGAUUAGAUACCCCGGUAGUCCUGGCCCUAAACGAUGGGUACUAGGUAGUGGACUUGACAUGGGUUCACUGCCGAAGCAAAAGUAUUAAGUACCCCGCCUGGGGAGUAUGGUCGCAAGGCUAGAA
rnacentral:rRNA from 1 species